ACGAUUGUCAUUCUGACGAAUGAAAACGAGUGCUAAUGCCACGUUAUUGCUCAUUCGCUGAUGGCGAAAUUUGAAAUGUGACGUUUGUACGCGUGUUUAUUCGAUCACAUACGCCAGAGUAAGAAUCGUAUACAACUAGUCGUACCGUGUAAAUGGGCCUUUACAUUCACUGGUUUAUCUUGUCCAUGAAGAGCAAGGUAUGCCUGUUCCAAAUGAUGUUGGUAAUUUUUCUCAUCAGCAGCACCGAUGCACUUGAAUGGUACAGCACGGGUGAUUUCGUUCUCGUCAUUUUCAUCCUCAUCACUUAACUGGUCACCACUUUCUGCCCUAUCACCUUCAUUACCAUAUCCAUGUUGACCAGGUUCAAGACCAGCCAACCACUCAAGUAGAUCUCUUAGUUUCUACAAAAUCAUAACAAGAAAAUUUUUAUUUAAUUUAUUAUUUUGUACAUAAAUUGU
rnacentral:lncRNA from 1 species